CCUGGUGGCAAUAGUGCUGGGGUAACACCUGUUCCCAUUCCGAAUACAGAAGUGAAGACCAUCACGCCGAAAAUACUUGUUUGGAGACGAACCGGAAAAAUAGGUACUGCCAGGU
rnacentral:rRNA from 1 species